AGUCGAGCGGGGUAGCAAUACCUAGCGGCAGACGGGUGCGUAACAUGUGGGAAUCUGCCUUUUGGUUCGGAACAACAUGGGGAAACCUGUGCUAAUACCGGAUAAGUCCUAACGGAGAAAGUUUUAAUGCCAAAAGAUGAGCCCGCAUUUGAUUAGCUUGUUGGUGAGGUAAAAGCUCACCAAGGCUAUAAUCAAUAGCUGAUUUGAGAGGAUGAUCAGCCACACUGGGACUGAGAUACGGCCCAGACUCCUACGGGAGGCAGCAGUGGGGAAUCUUGCACAAUGGGCGAAAGCCUGAUGCAGCGAUGCCGCGUGAGUGAAGAAGGCCUUUGGGUUGUAAAGCUCUUUUGUCGGGAAAGAUAAUGACUGUACCCGAAGAAUAAGGUCCGGCUAACUUCGUGCCAGCAGCCGCGGUAAUACGAAGGGACCUAGCGUAGUUCGGAAUUACUGGGCGUAAAGAGUAUGUAGGCGGCUAGAUAAGUUAAUUGUGAAAGCCCAAAGCUUAACUUUGGAACUGCAAUUAAAACUAUUUAGCUGGAGUAUGAUAGAGGAAAGCGGAAUACAUAGUGUAGAGGUGAAAUUCGUAGAUAUUAUGUAGAACACCAGUUGCGAAGGCGGCUUUCUGGAUCAUUACUGACGCUGAGAUACGAAAGUAUGGGUAGCGAAGAGGAUUAGAUACCCUCGUAGUCCAUACCAUAAACGAUGAUUAUUAAAUGUGGGGAAUUAUUUCUCUGUAUUAUAGCUAACGCGUUAAAUAAUCCGCCUGGGGAGUACGACCGCAAGGUUAAAACUCAAAUGAAUUGACGGGGACCCGCACAAGCGGUGGAGCAU
rnacentral:rRNA from 1 species